rnacentral:snRNA from 1 species
AACCAGUGGUAGUAUCAUAGCUAAUGAAGUUAAUCUGAGGUGCGAUUAUUGCUAGUUGAAAAGUUCUUCUUCACACAACAAACAGUUAACCCGUGGAGCUUGCUGGCAU